GGCUCGUUGGUCUAGGGGUAUGAUUCUUUCUUCGAGUGAGAGAGGUCCUGGGUUCAAACCCUGGGCGAGCCC
rnacentral:tRNA from 1 species